UGCAAGAAAACAUUUACCAAGGAGUGAAAGACAACGGAGAAGUUUUUAUGUAGUUAUCACCGUGUUUUCUUCGUGUCGAAAAAGCCUAGCGAGACCGUUAAUUACACGUUACCGCCACCUGUCGUCGUGGAAGUCUCAUAAAAAGGCCCACAAUGGCUUAACAUUCAUACCAAAACUCUUCAUUUGUUUGUCCAUGUAAAUAAUAUGUGAUACUCACCAACGUUGGCCUAAAAGUCCACUGUUUGCUAGCUGUGUUGUUCACAGAGUAGUUGCAACACUCCAGCACAUAGCCGCAGCCCUCGCUGUGGCACCUGCACCGAGUCAAGGAGUAUUCCUGGUGUGAGGAGAUCCAGAUGUUCCGGAGGUUUUAAGCAGGAGCUGAACUAUCUGUAGAUGUCUCCUCUUCCCCAAAACAAACACACCAGGGGAGGCUCAUUCGCCGCUGCCAGCCCUAAGAUUAUUAUCAUUAAGAGGAGGCAAAUAAAAUGACACGUGACGACUCCGCAUGAUUAUUGGCGCAAUCACUCAUGUAACAGCCUGCCCAGCUUUCCGUGGGGGCUCCAGUAUUUGUCACUGUCACUUCCCCAAGUGCUCCGCCAUUGUCUUGGAAAUUGUAUGUGUAAGGCAAGAGAUGCCUGUGACCCACUUCGACAAGGGAGCCAGCGAUGUG